UUGCUUCCGAUUUCUCAUUCGACGCAGUCAAAAAAAUCGAGAUUCUCUCUGCCUCUCUGGACACAACCCACGAACGAGAAUGAACAAAGGGAAAUUGGUGCAUCUACUUCUUCUGUCGACUUUAGCUCCGGCCUCCGAUGUCGUCGACUUUAGCUCUGGCCUCCGGUUCGUCAUCUCUUUCAAGCAACAACGUCGCAGUCCCCUUCCAAGCUUCAGUUCACGACUUCACGUCUUCGCAGUCGCAGUUCCAACAACAUUAGAUAAAUUUGCAACUUGGAAUGAAAACGAAGACUGGAACAUCCUCUAAAAUCUUCUGUUCUUUCUAAAAUCCUUUGUUCUUUCUGCAACAUCAGGUAAGGCAGAAGGGUAUUUGAUUCGGGUAAUUUCUUGACCAAAAUCUCUAAUUGUUUUGUGUAUGAAACCAUAUGCCCACCAAGUGUUCGAUCAAUUGCCUGAGUGAAGGGUAUUUGGAUUCGGGUAAUUUCUUGACUAAAACUCUGGUCCCUUGAUCGUCUGUGAAGUUAUUAAGAACCAUGGAUUUGAAGAUGUAGGUGGUUUGGUUCUAGUUCUCGGUUGUGUAUGGUGCGACAGUAGUGGAGUGUGAUGGUGCAGAACAGAUGCAUACAGGAAGGUGGUCAAUGGACGUGUUUGGUGGUUGGAGCAAAAACGAAUGGAGCACUUGGUGGUAUUUGGUUGUAUGUGUAUGUAGCAAAAACAUAGAUUGGAUUGCAGCUUCUACUGAUCUCUCAAGCACCACACCAGAUGUUUUAAGCAGUGAGUUAUGUAAAAAGCUUAAAGGGUUUCAAGCAGUGAGUUAUGUAAAAGGCUUAAAUGAUUUCUUGCAGAAUGGCCUCCUUCAAGUCCCCAACCUCAUGUCAAUGAACUUCUUAUAGCAAAAGCGUUUUUUAAUCAUAGUUUCAUGUUAUAAUGCUAUAUUUAUUAAAAUUUUAAUAUAUAUUUUUUAUUUAUAAUGUUA